CUAGUGUGCCGGUUGUCGCGCCAGCGGCAGUGCCGGGUAGCUAUGUCCGGUUUAGAUAACCGCUGAAAGCAUCUAAGCGGGAAGCUAGCCUCAAGAUAAGAUCACCCUGGAGGGUAACCUCCCUAAAGGCCACUCAAAGACUAUGAGUUUGAUAGGCUGGGUGUGGAAGAGUUGAAAGGCUCGAAGCUAACCAGUACUAAUCGGCCGUGAGGCUUAACAGC
rnacentral:rRNA from 1 species